ACUGGUGCCAGCAGCCGCGGUAAUUCCAGCUCCAAUAGCGUAUAUUAAAGUUGUUGACAGUUAAAAAGCUCGUAGUUGAAUUUCGAGAUCAAAUUGUUGGUCGUGCCUCGGUACGUACUGGUAAUUUUGGUUUCUCCCUUCUGAAGAACCAUGAUGUCAUUAAUUUGGUGUCUUGGGGAAUCAGGACUGUUACUUGAAAAAAUUAGAGUGUUUAAAGCAGGCUCGCGCUUGAAUACAUUAGCAUGGAAUAAUGAAAUAGGACGUUUGAUUCUAUUUUAGUUGGUUUCUAGGGAUCGACGUAAUAUUAAUAGGGAUAGUUGGGGGGCAUUAGUAUUCAAUUGUCAGAGGUGAAAUUCUUGGAUUUAUUGAAGACUAACUACUGCGAAAGCAUUUGCCAAGGAUGUUUUCAUUAAUCAAGAACGAAAGUUAGGGGGAUCGAAGACGAUCAGAUACCGUCGUAGUCUUAACCAUAAACUAUGCCGACUAGGGAUCGGAUGAUGUUAAUUUUUUAAUGACUCAUUCGGCGCCUUACG
rnacentral:rRNA from 1 species